GUGCCAGCCGCCGCGGUAAUACGGAGGAUCCAAGCGUUAUCCGGAAUCAUUGGGUUUAAAGGGUCCGUAGGCGGUUUUAUAAGUCAGUGGUGAAAUCUGGUCGCUCAACGAUCAAACGGCCAUUGAUACUGUAAGACUUGAAUUACUUGGAAGUAACUAGAAUAUGUAGUGUAGCGGUGAAAUGCUUAGAGAUUACAUGGAAUACCAAUUGCGAAGGCAGGUUACUACAAGUGGAUUGACGCUGAUGGACGAAAGCGUGGGGAGCGAACAGGAUUAGAUACCCCGGUAGUCC
rnacentral:rRNA from 1 species